AAACGGAAAUGGCAUCACUCCAGUUCUUCUUUAUCUUGAUCUUUGUAAACACUUUAAAGGCAUUUUUAAAAAGGCAAUGUCUCCAUAAUGAAGGGCUGAGAUGGGAGCUGGGAUUACACACCUAUGGCUACUGACAUUCACAAAGGUCAGCACUUCAUCCAUCAACCUCUCUAUACACCUACCCAUCUGCCGAGGUGUCCCUUCCUGUAUCGUUCAAUCCAUCAGCCUCUUGACAGCGGGAGUUCACUCCUUCAGUCCUGGAGUGCUGCAACCACUGCAGUCAUACAGAUUACAACAGAAACAUGCACCAGAACGACCAUCUGAGAAGGGGUUGACAUAUUCAGCUACUGCUGUACAGUCCCCUAAGUUAAUUCAUCAAUGUUUGUGGUAAUACAGCCAAACAUCUGAUUAUUACUUUAAACUUUUGUGGGAAAUCAAACCACGUGCACACUGCAGUAAUUUGUUGACGGUUGCAGACCACAGGGCGGACACAUACGUUUCCAAGCAGUCAAAUGAGGUGUCAAUCGAUUUGGAGGCUCGCAGUCAUCGUAGGUAAGAGAUAAGUGAAAAAAGAUGGCAACUGGGAUUAAGGCGGUGCACAACAGCGAUUUUGGACGAGAGCAUUUCCUUACGAGGAUCAGAUAGCGCCACCAUCAUGUACAGUGAAGUGAGGACAAAUUGAGGACUGUGAGCCAAGAGCAGAGGGAGUGAUGGACAACAACUUGGAAAGAUACAUUCUAGAGACACAGACACGAGGGUGGCGCCAAACUCCUCGUCGAGUUCUCAGCAAGAGAGUCGAGCGCGCCACUCCUGCCCUGCCGUGCCCUGCUCCCCCUGCUGAAUAUGUAACAGCUGAGAGUGAAAAUGACAUCCACCUACACCUCUAUCUCUCACCUGGUCUCACUUUGGAUCGCUGAGAUGCACACUCCGCCGGCGCAUGAGUGCACAUGAGAGAUGGGAGCUGCGGGAGCUCGCUCUUAAGGUGGUGAGCAUGGAGACUGGGGCAUUGUGGAUAACGGCGCGGACCUCCUGACCGAAGCUAACUUUGGGGUCCUGCAACGAUAAUCGUCCAUAGUCUCUGGCUGGUCUGUGUCCAGGGACUCCUCUCUAGUUCUGAGCUCCCUGAAUCUAUUAGAGGCAGUGUGCACCUGUCUAACGGCUGUCAGGUGGGUGAAAAACAGCAUGGAGGGAGCUGCGAGGUGCCAACUGGUGGAAGAUCGCUAAAGCUGCUUCCACUGUUGUUGUUUGAGUCAACGUCCUAUUAAAAGAACUGAUAACAAACCUGAAGUGGGCUUACCACGUGGCCUAAUAGAGAACAGCACUGAUAUUGCGCAUGGAGAUCCUCAGUCCCAAUAUUCCCUGGAUCAGAGCCGUGCGAGCCAGCGAUUUCAUUUGCAAACUGCAAACCCGGUUUGCCCUGCACAUGAAAAAUCAGUGAAUCUGUGAUUUGUCCUCGUUAUAUAGCUGAGUCGGCCUUAUUAAAGUGACUUUAGCCAAAGGGUAAGAGAUUUGUGAAUAUCAACUCCAUUUCUGCAUAUAGUCUGUCUUCUUAGAUACCCUGCAAACGAUGGGCUGGGCUAGAGAACGUAUGAAAGGCUCUCAAACAGACCACUUUGAAUUACAGUGAAAGGUAAAAGGGCACCAUGUUUAGCUUCUUAAGUGCUCCACACUCUAACAGCGCCCAUCUGGCUCCGGAAAAUUGUAAGGACUUAGCUUUCUUCCUUGUCAAUGACUUCCUUAAAGCCAGGCCAUGAUUCAGUUCAACUGUCACCGCAGAUUUAAUGGGAUAUUAUUCAUGCAGCAAGACAGGCAAUAAAAAUGGCAGGGGCUUUCGAAAAAGCGUCUGUGUGAUGUGUUUGAGGGAGAAAUGAGGAAAAGAAAGGAAAUGAGAGAUGUGACAGCAUGUUGAUGUUUUCGUGUUUUUCUAAGUUAAGGUAGUGCAACAACACCGAUUUUGAGAAACAACGGAGCUGUAGCUGUUGUACUUCAGCAGCUUCUGGGGAGGGACAUCUCAUCACCCCCGGGGUUGCUCAGAUCUUUCAAAAAUCACAAGCCAUUUUCGGCGGUGUACUAGCUUCGGCGCCCAGGCCUCUGCACAACUUCCAGAAAACAGAGGUUUCUCGUUGGAAAACCACA